CACACUACUCUUAGGUUUGCCACCUGACUGGUAUUUUACUAGCACAGCUGGUAUUUGAGGCUGCCGUGCAAGUAUUGCAGUAAUACCGGCAAUACAAAUGCAGGUAAUUUUCUCAGAAUAAAUGGAAAUUACUCUGCAAUACCAGCACCGGUCAGUAGGGGUCACUGUGUGUGGAGAGAGGCAGGUAUAGGAAGUUACAGAAUAUCCCUGCCUCUCUCUACUACUCACUGAUCUGUGGGGGAGCAGCUACACAGCAUAGAGUCCAGACAGCAGCUCUACAGCUCAGGUGAGGGAUGGGGGGAAAGGUAGCAGGGACACAUGGGGACACUGAGACACUAGGGGACAUAUGGGGACACUGAGACACUAGGGGACACAGACACUGGGGGACACAUGGGGACACAGACACUAGGGGACACUGAGACACUAAGACACAGACACUGGGAGACCUUGGAACACUGAGACACUUGGGGACACUGGAAAACAUGGGGACACCGGGACACUAGAGGACACUGAGACACUAGGGGACAUAUGGGGACACUGAGACAUUAGGGGACACAUGGGGACACAGACACUAGGGGACACUGAGACACUAGGACACCUGGGGACACAGACACUGGGAGACCUGGGGACACAGACACAUGGGGACACUGAGACACUUGGGGACACUGGAAAACAUGGGGACACUGAGACACUAGGGGACACUGAGACACUAGGGGACACUGGGACACAUGGGAUGCUGUAAGACAUAGGGACAUUGGGAGACAUUGGGACACGGAGACACGAUGUUCCCAUGUCCCCCAGCCAGUGUCCCUAGUGUCUCAGUGUCCCCAAGUCUCCCAGUGUCUGUGUCCCAUGUCUCUCAGUGUGCCUAGUGUCCCC